GAUGAACGCUGGCGGCGUGCCUAAUACAUGCAAGUCGAGCGAACGGACGAGAAGCUUGCUUCUCUGAUGUUAGCGGCGGACGGGUGAGUAACACGUGGAUAACCUACCUAUAAGACUGGGAUAACUUCGGGAAACCGGAGCUAAUACCGGAUAAUAUUUUGAACCGCAUGGUUCAAAAGUGAAAGACGGUCUUGCUGUCACUUAUAGAUGGAUCCGCGCUGCAUUAGCUAGUUGGUAAGGUAACGGCUUACCAAGGCAACGAUGCAUAGCCGACCUGAGAGGGUGAUCGGCCACACUGGAACUGAGACACGGUCCAGACUCCUACGGGAGGCAGCAGUAGGGAAUCUUCCGCAAUGGGCGAAAGCCUGACGGAGCAACGCCGCGUGAGUGAUGAAGGUCUUCGGAUCGUAAAACUCUGUUAUUAGGGAAGAACAUAUGUGUAAGUAACUGUGCACAUCUUGACGGUACCUAAUCAGAAAGCCACGGCUAACUACGUGCCAGCAGCCGCGGUAGUACGUAGGUGGCAAGCGUUAUCCGGAAUUGUUGGGCGUAAAGCGCGCGUAGGCGGUCUUUUAAGUCUGAUGUGAAAGCCCACGGCUCAACCGUGGAGGGUCAUUGGAAACUGGAAAACUUGAGUGCAGAAGAGGAAAGUGGAAUUCCAUGUGUAGCGGUGAAAUGCGCAGAGAUAUGGAGGAACACCAGUGGCGAAGGCGACUUUCUGGUCUGUAACUGACGCUGAUGUGCGAAAGCGUGGGGAUCAAACAGGAUUAGAUACCCUGGUAGUCCACGCCGUAAACGAUGAGUGCUAAGUGUUAGGGGGUUUCCGCCCCUUAGUGCUGCAGCUAACGCAUUAAGCACUCCGCCUGGGGAGUACGACCGCAAGGUUGAAACUCAAAGGAAUUGACGGGGGCCCGCACAAGCGGUGGAGCAUGUGGUUUAAUUCGAAGCAACGCGAAGAACCUUACCAAAUCUUGACAUCCUUUGACAACUCUAGAGAUAGAGCCUUCCCCUUCGGGGGGCAAAGUGACAGGUGGUGCAUGGUUGUCGUCAGCUCGUGUCGUGAGAUGUUGGGUUAAGUCCCGCAACGAGCGCAACCCUUAAGCUUAGUUGCCAUCAUUAAGCUGGGCACUCUAAGUUGACUGCCGGUGACAAACCGGAGGAAGGUGGGGAUGACGUCAAAUCAUCAUGCCCCUUAUGAUUUGGGCUACACACGUGCUACAAUAGACAAUACAAAGGGCAGCGAAACCGCGAGGUCAAGCAAAUCCCAUAAAGUUGUUCUCAGUUCGGAUUGUAGUCUGCAACUCGACUACAUGAAGCUGGAAUCGCUAGUAAUCGUAGAUCAGCAUGCUACGGUGAAUACGUUCCCGGGUCU
rnacentral:rRNA from 1 species